ACAAGCAGGCAGGCAUGGUUAUAAAGGUGAAGCAAGUGAAACAGAGAUGAGCAACCGCAUAGAUUGCCUUUGAAGUCGGAAAACCAGAUUGCUGCUGUCAAGUGCAGGAGUGAAGCAACCGGGAGAAAUCAGCUGAUCUGGUUUUGUGCGUCACAGUGAGGGAGCAGCGGUAUGCAGGGGUUAUUAACAUUGGAAACAGAACUAUGUCUAUUCAGAAAUAAGACCUGUAGAAUUCAACAAAGCUUACUCCCAGGAAAAACCAGAUGCAAACAAGGGAAAUUUGGAGGAGGCAUCGCUUUGCAGACCCUGCUUGGAGUCCUGGUCCAGUUCUGGGCUGAUAAGAAGCAGAGGGGGCAGAAAGCCAAAGGGAAUUAUUCAGCUCCAAUGGGGCCCUGGCUGUCUUGUAUAUGUUUUUUUAUUAUUAUUAAAUUUAUAUACCACCCUCCAUCAUAAGAUCUCAGGGUGGUUCACAGAAUAAAAUACAAGAUCAAUACAAGAUAAUAUAUACACACACAUUCAAUCAUAGUUGCCAACUCCCUGGGGCCCUGGGUGCCCAAGCACCCACAAAAUUCCCGGUAAAGGGGCCGGGCACCCACAAAUUUCAGUGCCAGGGCCAUGUACACUGCAUGGCACCCAUGGCCCUGGGCACCCAUGAUUGCAGAGCCAAGCAGGGGUCAACAAACCUUUACUGCAGGGGGCUGGUCCACUAUCCCUCAGACCUUGUGGGGGCCGGACUAUAUUUUAUUUUGGGGGGAAUCCCCCCACGACUCUCCCCUCCCUUCUUCAUCUCACACACAUGUAUGCACAGCAUUCCAUGAGACAGGAAACCAGGACAGUGAUUUGCUAGCAAACGGGACAAAAAACCAAAAGAUGCUUUCUGGUAGAUCAGGACAGGUGGAGCUGUGCCGUUUCCACCCUAAUGAUCUCUGUAGAGGAGAUCCUUGGUUCAUACGUCAAAUGAAAACCUUUCCCACACAACAUUACAAAGUUACAACUGGCAGGAUCUGCAAAAGAAUGUUGCAACAUCAUGGAGUGCUCCUUUGUAGGGUUCUGGCCGGCCAGCCAGCCAGCCAGCCAUGCCCUCUUCAUGAAUACUCCAUUCCAUUCACCUUCCUCAGUGAUUUUUCCAUCACCAUCCCCUUCCAGCAACUGUCAACCAGUGGUUCUUUUGUAGAUUUAAUCCCGAUGUUUCUGUGCACUUCUGCCCACUGAGGUGUACCCC